CAGCAGCCACGGUAAUACGGAGGGAGCUAGCGUUGUUCGGAAUUACUGGGCGUAAAGCGCGCGUAGGCGGUUACUCAAGUCAGAGGUGAAAGCCCGGGGCUCAACCCCGGAACUGCCUUUGAAACUAGGUGACUAGAAUCUUGGAGAGGUCAGUGGAAUUCCGAGUGUAGAGGUGAAAUUCGUAGAUAUUCGGAAGAACACCAGUGGCGAAGGCGACUGACUGGACAAGUAUUGACGCUGAGGUGCGAAAGCGUGGGGAGCAAACAGGAUUAGAUACCCGUGUAGUCCCUGUCUCUUAUAA
rnacentral:rRNA from 1 species